GAUGAACGCUGGCGGCGUGCCUAAUACAUGCAAGUCGAGCGAACAGAUAAGGAGCUUGCUCCUUUGACGUUAGCGGCGGACGGGUGAGUAACACGUGGGUAACCUACCUAUAAGACUGGGAUAACUUCGGGAAACCGGAGCUAAUACCGGAUAAUAUUUCGAACCGCAUGGUUCGAUAGUGAAAGAUGGUUUUGCUAUCACUUAUAGAUGGACCCGCGCCGUAUUAGCUAGUUGGUAAGGUGAUGGCUUACCAAGGCGACGAUACGUAGCCGACCUGAGAGGGUGAUCGGCCACACUAGAACUGAGACACGGUCCAGACUCCUACGGGAGGCAGCAGUAGGGAAUCUUCCGCAAUGGGCGAAAGCCUGACGGAGCAACGCCGCGUGAGUGAUGAAGGUCUUCGGAUCGUAAAACUCUGUUAUUAGGGAAGAACAUACGUGUAAGUAACUGUGCACGUCUUGACGGUACCUAAUCAGAAAGCCACGGCUAACUACGUGCCAGCAGCCGCGGUAAUACGUAGGUGGCAAGCGUUAUCCGGAAUUAUUGGGCGUAAAGCGCGCGUAGGCGGUUUUUUAAGUCUGAUGUGAAAGCCCACGGCUCAACCGUGGAGGGUCAUUGGAAACUGGAAAAACUUGAGUGCAAAAGAGGAAAGUGGAAUUCCAUGUGUAGCGGUGGAAAUGCGCAGAAUAGGGAGGAAACCAAUGGCGGAGGCGAAUUUCUGGUCUGGAAUGACUCUGAAUGCGAAAACGUGGGGAAACACAAGAUAAAGAACCCGGAGGCCCAGGGGGAAUUCUCUGUGGAGUUUGGGUGUCGGUCCGCGGGGGGGGGUGUUUAGAAAUAAAAAAAAAAUUGUCCCCUACUGGAGAGAUUCUAUAUACAUGUUC
rnacentral:rRNA from 1 species